rnacentral:rRNA from 1 species
UACAGAGGUCCCGAGCGUUGUUCGGAUUCAUUGGGCGUAAAGGGUGCGUAGGCGGCGGGGUAAGUUUGAUGUGAAAUUCCGGGGCUCAACCCUGGCAUGGCAUUGAAUACUACCUUGCUAGAGUACCGGAGAGGAAACUGGAAUUUACGGUGUAGCAGUGAAAUGCGUAGAGAUCGUAAGGAAGACCAGUGGCGAAGGCGAGUUUCUGGACGGUAACUGACGCUGAGGCACGAAGGCCAGGGGAGCAAACGGGG